rnacentral:rRNA from 1 species
GUGUCAGCCGCCGCGGUAACACGGGGGGUGCAAGCGUUAUUCGGAAUUACUGGGCGUAAAGAGCGCGUAGGCGGUUUCUAAAGUCAGAUGUGAAAGCCCGGGGCUCAACCCUGGAAGUGCAUUUGAAACUUAGGGACUUGAGUAUGGGAGAGGGAAGUGGAAUUCCUGGUGUAGCUGUGAAAUGCGUAGAUAUCAGGAGGAACACCGGUGGCGAAGGCGACUUCCUGGACCAAUACUGACGCUGAGGCGCGAAGGCGUGGGGAGCAAACAGGAUUAGAUACCCUGGUAGUCCACGCAGUAAACGUUG